AGCAGCCGCGGUAAUUCCAGCUCCAAUAACGUAUAUUAAAGUUGUUGCAGUUAAAAAGCUCGUAGUUGAAUUUCGGGAUCAAUUAAUCGGUCGUACCUAUGGUACAUACUGAUUUUAUUGGUUUCUCCCUUCUGACGAACCAUGAUGUCAUUAAUUUAAUGUCGUGGAGAAUCAGGACUGUUACUUUGAAAAAAUUAGAGUGUUUAAAGCAGGCUAACGCUUGAAUACAUUAGCAUGGAAUAAUGAAAUAGGACGUUUGAUCCUAUUUUGUUGGUUUCUAGGAUCCACGUAAUGAUUAAUAGGGAUAGUUGGAGGCAUUAGUAUUCAAUUGUCAGAGGUGAAAUUCUUGGAUUUAUUGAAGACUAACUACUGCGAAAGCAUUUGCCAAGGAUGUUUUCAUUAAUCAAGAACGAAAGUUAGGGAAUCGAAGACGAUCAGAUACCGUCGUAGUCUUAACCAUAAACUAUGCCGACUAGGAAUCGGAUGAUGUUAAUUUUUUAAUGACUCAUUCGGCACCUUACA
rnacentral:rRNA from 1 species